rnacentral:lncRNA from 1 species
CCGCGGUCUGGUCGGCCCGACCACCGUCGAUAGAGCACAGGGUGAGGUGUGGUGGACAGGUGCCGCGCAGAGGACCCGCCCAGGCGGUGGGCAGCGCUUGCGCGUUUCCCCUUGUGUUAAAGAAUUGCUCCACAUUCGGUCAAAGUCUCCGUUUUUACGCGCAAGCUGUUUGCAGACGCGGCUGUGCGGCCCCCGCCGCUUUCGGGUACUGAGCGUCUCCUACCACAGUCGCCCGCCCAGCCCCUGGCAGCACUGCAGUCUCUGGACCCCGCGUUGUGGAAUGGCAGCGCUCAGCCUCGGUGUCUCGGCGACGUGCACAUGAGUCAGUCCUUUCUGAGUACUGGUGUGCUGGUGGGCGUGCCCCGCAGUGAGGCCGGUGGUCGCCAUUUGCGCUUGCUCCUGAAUGCAGAGGUUCCCACCCUAGCUCCGCUUUGCAAAGCAUCCUCAAGAGGCACAUUACUGGGACUGGGGUUGUGGCUCAGCGGUAGACGCUCACCUAGCAUGUGCAAGGUCCUGGGUUCAACCCUCAGCACCAUAUA